rnacentral:rRNA from 1 species
GUAGGUGGCAAGCGUUGUCCGGAAUUAUUGGGCGUAAAGCGCGCGCAGGCGGUUCUUUAAGUCUGAUGUGAAAGCCCACGGGCUCAACCGUGGAGGGUCAUUGGAAACUGGAGAACUUGAGUACAGAAGAGGAAAGCGGAAUUCCACGUGUAGCGGUGAAAUGCGUAGAGAUGUGGAGGAACACCAGUGGCGAAGGCGGCUUUCUGGUCUGUAACUGACGCUGAGGCGCGAAGCGUGGGGAGCAAACAGGAUUAGAUACCCUGGUAGUCCACGCCGUAAACGAUGAGUGCUAAGUGUUAGGGGGUUUCCGCCCCUUAGUGCUGCAGCUAACGCAUUAAGCACUCCGCCUGGGGAGUACGGCCGCAAGGCUG